ensembl:snRNA U2 U2 spliceosomal RNA
AUCGCUUCUCGGCCUUUUGGCUAAGAUCAAGUGUAGUAAAACCACAAUAUGAUUGGCAUGAUUAUGAUAUCAAAAACAUUAUAGCCUUUCUCAAAGCUGUAAACAGCUAAUGCCAUAUGACUAUUGCUUUUGAAUGUAAAGAGAAAUUCCU